GUCUUCGGAUGCUGACGAGUGGCGAACGGGUGAGUAAUACAUCGGAACGUGCCCGAUCGUGGGGGAUAACGCAGCGAAAGCUGUGCUAAUACCGCAUACGAUCUACGGAUGAAAGCGGGGGAUCGCAAGACCUCGCGCGGACGGAGCGGCCGAUGGCAGAUUAGGUAGUUGGUGGGAUAAAAGCUUACCAAGCCGACGAUCUGUAGCUGGUCUGAGAGGACGACCAGCCACACUGGGACUGAGACACGGCCCAGACUCCUACCGGAGGCAGCAGUGGGGAAUUUUGGACAAUGGGCGAAAGCCUGAUCCAGCAAUGCCGCGUGCAGGAUGAAGGCCUUCGGGUUGUAAACUGCUUUUGUACGGAACGAAAAGACUCUGGUUAAUACCUGGGGUUCAUGACGGUACCGUAAGAAUAAGCACCGGCUAACUACGUGCCAGCAGCCGCGGUAAUACGUAGGGUGCAAGCGUUAAUCGGAAUUACUGGGCGUAAAGCGUGCGCAGGCGGUGAUGUAAGACAGAUGUGAAAUCCCCGGGCUCAACCUGGGAACUGCAUUAGUGACUGCAUCGCUGGAGUGCGGCAGAGGGGGAUGGAAUUCCGCGUGUAGCAGUGAAAUGCGUAGAUAUGCGGAGGAACACCGAUGGCGAAGGCAAUCCCCUGGGCCUGCACUGACGCUCAUGCACGAAAGCGUGGGGAGCAAACAGGAUUAGAUACCCUGGUAGUCCACGCCCUAAACGAUGUCAACUGGUUGUUGGGAAUUCACUUUCUCAGUAACGAAGCUAACGCGUGAAGUUGACCGCCUGGGGAGUACGGCCGCAAGGUUAAAACUCAAAGGAAUUGACGGGGACCCGCACAAGCGGUGGAUGAUGUGGUUUAAUUCGAUGCAACGCGAAAAACCUUACCCACCUUUGACAUGUACGGAAGAUCGCAGAGACGCGAUUGUGCUCGAAAGAGAGCCGUAACACAGGUGCUGCAUGGCUGUCGUCAGCUCGUGUCGUGAGAUGUUGGGUUAAGUCCCGCAACGAGCGCAACCCUUGCCAUUAGUUGCUACAUUUAAUUGAACACUCUAAUGGGACUGCCGGUGACAAACCGGAGGAAGGUGGGGAUGACGUCAAGUCCUCAUGGCCCUUAUAGGUGGGGCUACACACGUCAUACAAUGGCUGGUACAAAGGGUUGCCAACCCGCGAGGGGGAGCUAAUCCCAUAAAGCCAGUCGUAGUCCGGAUCGCAGUCUGCAACUCGACUGCGUGAAGUCGGAAUCGCUAGUAAUCGUGGAUCAGAAUGUCACGGUGAAUACGUUCCCGGGUCUUGUACACACCGCCCGUCACACCAUGGGAGCGGGUUCUGCCAGAAGUAGUUAGCCUAACCGCAAGGAAGGCGAUUACCACCGCAGGGUUCGUGACUGGGGUUAAGUCCUAACAAGGUAACCGUAUCGAAGUG
rnacentral:rRNA from 1 species